rnacentral:piRNA from 1 species
ACAGAAGGAUUGCUGAAAGUUGAAGGCUA